AACGAACGCUGGCGGUAUGCCUAACACAUGCAAGUCGAACGAGACCUUCGGGUCUAGUGGCGCACGGGUGCGUAACGCGUGGGAAUCUGCCCUUGGGUUCGGAAUAACAGUUAGAAAUGACUGCUAAUACCGGAUAAUGUCUUCGGACCAAAGAUUUAUCGCCCAGGGAUGAGCCCGCGUAGGAUUAGCUAGUUGGUGAGGUAAAGGCUCACCAAGGCGACGAUCCUUAGCUGGUCUGAGAGGAUGAUCAGCCACACUGGGACUGAGACACGGCCCAGACUCCUACGGGAGGCAGCAGUGGGGAAUAUUGGACAAUGGCGAAAGCCUGAUCCAGCAAUGCCGCGUGAGUGAUGAAGGCCUUAGGUUGUAAGCUCUUUUACCCGGGUACGUGAUAAUAGACAGUACCGGGAGGAA
rnacentral:rRNA from 1 species